rnacentral:piRNA from 1 species
CAGUACCUUGGUGUAUAUCCAUCAUCGCC